rnacentral:rRNA from 1 species
UACGUAUGGAGCAAGCGUUAUCCGGAUUUACUGGGUGUAAAGGGAGCGUAGACGGUUUGCCAAGUCUGAUGUGAAAGGUGUGGGCUCAACCCGCAAACUGCAUUGGAAACUGGUGUACUUGAGUGUCGGAGAGGUAAGUGGAAUUCCUAGUGUAGCGGUGAAAUGCGUAGAUAUUAGGAGGAACACCAGCGGCGAAGGCGGCUUACUGGACGAUAACUGACGUUGAGGCUCGAAAGCGUGGGGAG